rnacentral:siRNA from 1 species
UAAUUUAUCGUGUUUUGCGUGACA